UACGUAGGGGGCAAGCGUUGUCCGGAAUUAUUGGGCGUAAAGCGCGCGCAGGCGGUUUUGUAAGUCUGGUGUUUAAUCUCGGGGCUCAACCCCGAUUCGCAUUGGAAGCUGCAAGGCUUGAGUGCAGAAGAGGAAAGUGGAAUUCCACGUGUAGCGGUGAAAUGCGUAGAGAUGUGGAGGAACACCAGUGGCGAAGGCGACUUUCUGGGCUGUAACUGACGCUGAGGCGCGAAAGCGUGGGGAGCAAACAGG
rnacentral:rRNA from 1 species